GUCGUGAUCUAUAUGUGUUCUACGUACUAUACUUUUUGCAAAUAUCUCUCAGCUUCCCUAUUUAUAUUUAAAAAUUAAAAAAAUUUAAUUAAUAAAUAUCUAAAAGUAAUACAUACGCGCAAAAUAUUUAGGCGUUUAUAGUAUUUUUCUGCUAUUUAAGCGGAUAUUUUUCCAACAUGGAGAAUGAAAGUUUUUCCGAUUACUCGCCCUCUGCAACGUACACAAUAAUAUGACUGAAAACGAAUUUUCUAACCAUGCAGCAGAAUGGUUUCGAGUGGCAAAGCAACGAUAUUCAAGAGAGAAAGAAAAGAAAGGUAAAGAUGCAGCAAAUGAACACCAAAAGAAUGAAAACUAAUUAAUAAAGGUCAAUUGAAAUCACGAAAGUUGGGCAAACUAUUUUAUUUCGAGAUGUGGGAGGUGAAUCCCAUUUAGUUCAA